rnacentral:rRNA from 1 species
CAGUCGCGGGAAAACGGAGGGGGCUAGCGUUGUUCGGAAUUACUGGGCGUAAAGCGCACGUAGGCUGCUUUGUAAGUUAGAGGUGAAAGCCUGGUGCUCAACACCAGAACUGCCUUUAAGACUGCAGAGCUAGAACGUCGGAGAGGUGAGUGGAAUUCCGAGUGUAGAGGUGAAAUUCGUAGAUAUUCGGAAGAACACCAGUGGCGAAGGCGGCUCACUGGACGACUGUUGACGCUGAGGUGCGAAAGCGUGGGGAGCAAACAGGAUUAGAUACCCGCGUAGUCCCUGUCUCUUAUACACA